rnacentral:lncRNA from 1 species
UCACUUUUCACAAACCCUACAUACCAUUUCCUAAAUCUGCUUCUUCGUUUUUCAGAGAUUCAUCGUCCUUAGGGUUUGCUUGUGGUCUUUCGUAUCCGUCAAAACCCUAAUCGACCGGAGAAAUCGUCAAAAGUUCUUCACAAUAUGAUCGUUCCACAUAAUUUGCAGAUAUGCAUCCCUUGCACAACAGUCCUUCAUUUUUAAAGCUUAUUGAUGAAGAUGACCCGAUAUUUUUGGUGAAAAGCUUCUUUCAGACUCCUUCCCCUACAAGGAACUAUUGAAUGGGUUCCUAUGAGAAGUUGAAGAAAAGUUAUGGAUAAUGAAAACAACGCUCCUUCGUUAUUAAAGUCGAUUGAGGACUAUGAUCAUAUAUUUUUCGAAUUGUUAGUCGACCAAAAACAGUUAUGGAUCCUAAAAACAACUCUCAUUCGUUGUUAAAGUUGAUUGAGGAAUAUGAUCUUAUAUUUUUGGUGUUUAUUUUGGAUGGUCCGGAGUUUUUAGCUGCAACUAUGUUGGACAGAGAUAUGCUUGCUAUUGCUGUAAAUUGGUACCAUAUCGGUUGGUUUUGCUUGGUAAGAUUUGUGACGAUGCGUCGGACAAACAACAUUGGGAAAAUAUACAGCCUUGAGCCUUGAUGACCAAUGUAUAUCUCUAUUUGAGGAAUUCUCCAAAGAUCCAGAGCCGAUUGUUUCAUAGAGCUGUGAAGUUGCGUUAAACAUAUUGGAUUUUGAACUAUCCGACAAACCAUUCGAGGUACUUGGAAGAUUAAGUCUCUUAUCUGGGUGGUUGUUACAGGUUUAGGAUGUUAAAUGAUUUUGGAUGUACUCUGCGAUGUCGAUGAUGAGAGAUGUUGGUGAAGCUCAGGUUCGAACAACUUCAUGUGUAUAUUUUAUUAUAAAAAAUAAAAGUUUUUUUUUGUUUCAUGGGUCGUUCAAAGAGGCAAGUUUCUGCCUCCGGUUCUUGCCCGAAGUUUCUGACCUUACUCGCAACCCAUUGACUACAACUUUCAAUUCAAAACAAUUGUAAAAAAAUUACGUUUGAAAACAUGUAUUUUUAUU